rnacentral:rRNA from 1 species
UACGUAGGGUGCAAGCGUUGUCCGGAAUUAUUGGGCGUAAAGGGUGCGUAGGCGGCAUGAUAAGUUAUUGGCGGCAAAUCGAGGCUCAACCUCGUGGAAACUAAUAAUACUGUCUUGCUUGAGUGCAGAAGAGGUUAACGGAACUCCAUGUGGAGCGGUAAAAUGUGUAGAUAUAUGGAAGAACAUCAAUAACGGCGAAGGCAGUUAACUAUUCUGUUACUGACGUUGAGGCACGGAAAGCGUGGGGAGCAAAAAGG